ensembl:lncRNA
CAGCCAUAUAUCGCAAUACACAGUAUACCCAGGGCUCAGGAAGGGAAGAAAAAUCACAUCAUCUAGUUGCUGCAUUUGAUGAUAUGUCACAAUCACUUGUUUUUGCAGAGCCCAGACAGAAAAGAAGAGUCACAUCUCCUAGUUGAUGGAUGCAGAGAUAAGGCAAAAGGCUCCUUGUGGGCAGGACCCAGGCAGAAGGCUCUCACGCCCUAGGUGUUUGUCUCAGACAUAUGUCACACUACCAAAUAUAAGCAGGGCCCAGGCAAACAAGGAGUUUAGUGAUAUGUUACAAUCCCCACUCUUGGCAGGGACAGGACGCACACACACACAAGCAAAGGCACAUCACCUAGGUGAUUAAAAAAACAAACAAAAAGAUAUGUCAUGAUACCCCCUGUAGGCAGGGCCCAUGCAGAAGAGUCUCAUCACCUAGGUUUUAGACCCAGUUAUUUGUCACAAUACACAAUUUAUGCAAGACUCACACAAAAGAGGAAAGUCACAUAACGUAGGUGCUGGGUUCAGUGAUACAUUAUAAUCUCUCCUUGGGUAGAGUCCAAGCAGUAGAAAAGAGUUACAUUACCUGGGUACUUGGACCAGGAAUUUGUCACAAUACCUCCCGAGGAAAGAGUCCAGGAAGGGGAGUCACAUCACCUAAUUGAGGGGCUCAAAGAUAUAUUUCCCAGAGCUCCUUGUGGGUAGAGCUGAGGAUAAUCAAAAGAGUCACACAACCUAGGGGCUGGGCUCAGCUAUAUGUCACAACUACCCUAGGUGCAAGUCUCUGGUAUGAGGAAGAGUCACAUCACGUAGGUGCUGGGCCAAGCAAUAUGUUACAAUCCCCACUGUAGGAAGGUCUCAGGAAAAUAGAAGAAUCACAUUAUCUGGUUGAUCGGCACAGGAACAUAUCACAAUUACCCUAGACUGAAGUGUUACAUCCCCUGUGUGUGAAGUCCAGUGAUAAGCCACUCUUCCUUUUGUGCACAGGGUUUAAGCAAAAGAUGAAAGUCACAUCACCUAGCCGCUGGGCUUACAGAAUUGUCUCAAGCCCUCCUACGGUCAAAGCCUAUUUAAGAGACAAGAAUUAUAUUAGCUGCUCUGCCUAUGGAGCAGCCAUUUUUUUGUUUGUUUGUUUCUUUACUUCUCUAAUAAACUUGCUUUUGUUUUACUGCAUGGACUCACCCUGACUUCUUGGGGUCUGGGUCAAAAGCCCUUUUCAGUAACAGCUUUCUGGCAAACUAUAAAGGGACCAUACUGAGGAGAAAACUUAACUGAAGGAAAUAAACUGCAGCACUAAUUAGCCAACUUGGGGUAAGUAGUGGGGUAAACUUUACCAGGGUAAAAAAUGGGAUUGGGUUACAGGCCCAACAUAGAAGAGUUAGAGUCUCUCCUAAGACAUACUGGGUUAAAGAACUCUCUUAAUAAAAAGCUUGAGGCCUAAGUUAGGAAGCUUCGAGUCCUUUCUAAAAUUUAGGGUGUUGGCUGGGCAUGGUGGUUCACAUCUGUAAUCUCAGCACUUUGGGAAGCCUGGCAGGUGGAUCACCUGAGGUCAGGAGUUCGAGACCCGCCUGACCAACAUGGAGAAACCCGUCUCUACUAAAAAUACAAAAACUAGCUAGGCGUGGUGACACAUACCUGUAAUCCUAGCUACUCGGGAGGCUGAGGUGGGAAAAUCACUUGAACAUGGGAAGCGGAGAUCACUUAAAUGCAGUUAACCAAGAUCGUGCCAUUGCACUCCAGUCUGGGCAACAACAGGGAAACUCUGGCUCAAAAAAAAAAAAAAAAAAAAAAAAAAAAAAAAAA